CCUACGGGAGGCAGCAGUGGGGAAUAUUGCUCAAUGGUCGAAACCCUGAUGCAGCGACGCCGCGUGAGUGAAGAAGUAACUCGGUAUGUAAAGCUUCUUUUGUAGGGAAGAAAAUGACGGUACCUGUUCCAGAAGACCCGUCCAACUACAUGCCAGCAGCCGCGGCAAUACGGAGGGGGCAAGCGUUAUCCGGAUUGACUGGGUGUAAAGGGAGCUUAGACGGUAGCAUAAGGCUGGCGUGAAAUGGCGGGGCUUAACCCCGGAACUGCCUUGGAAACUGGGCGGCUAGAGUGCAGGAGAGGUAAGUGGAAUUCCUGGUGUAGCGGUGAAAUGCGUAGAUAUCACGAGGAACACCAGUGGCGAAGGCAGCUUACUGGACUGUAACUGACGUUGAGGCUCGAAAGCGUGGGUAUCGAACAGGAUUAGAUACCCCAGUAGUC
rnacentral:rRNA from 1 species